UCCUGUAGCCCAAGACUGGUUGCCCACUGAAGCUAAGCAGGGCUGAGCCUGGUCAGUGAUGGGAGAAUGGGACCUCCCAUGGGACCUGGAUGGGAGACCUCCUGGGAAAACUAGGUUGCUGCUGGAA
rnacentral:rRNA from 1 species